rnacentral:rRNA from 1 species
CCCUUAGAUGUUCUGGGCCGCACGCGCGCUACACUGAAGGGAUCAGCGUGUUUUCCCUUUCCGAGAGGAACGGGUAACCCGCUGAACCCCCUUCGUGGUAGGGAUCGGAGCUUGCAAUUGUUCUCCGUGAACCAGGAAUUCCUAGUAGACGCGAGUCAUAAGCUCGCAUCGAUUAAGUCCCUGCCCUUUGUACACACCGCCCGUCGCUACUACCGAUUGAACGUUUUAGUGAGGCAUUUGGACCGACGCAUCUCAGUUUAACCGCUGGUUUGUGUUGGAAAGACUUCCAAACUUGAGCGUUUAGAGGAAGUAAAAGUCGUAACA